CUGAUACUUGGUCUGGCCCAGGGUCCUUCCUGGCGUGCACAUACCUCCCAGCCAAGAUGAGUUCCAGCGCCAAGGAUUCUGGGAGGCUCGUUGUCUCCUCCCUCCUAUUGGCGCCUCCCAAAUCUUCCCAGUUAGUCUUCAGGGCAGCACCAUGUUCCUUCUCAGGGCCUCCUAUUGUGAGACAACUCGUGCAAGCAUGUAUUAAUCAUGCCUGGCCAAGGUGGGCAGUUUCAAUCAAUGGUCCCCUAAGGGUUGCACAACUUUUCACCCUUACAAAAAAAUCAGUGAAUUGUAUACUUAUAGUAUGUGAAUUUUCUCACAAAGAUGUUAAGUAAAAUAAGAAAGAAAAAAGGCAGGUUAUGGAGAGCUAUUGCAGAGCAAAUAGUGACCACUCUCACUUCUCCUGAGGGAUGGACAACUGCUGAUGGCCCAGCAGAACCCAGAGCCACAUCAGAACAUCUAGGGAAAUUCCUUCUCUGAACAAGGCCAGUGCGUGGAAAUUACAAAGAGGCAGAUUCUGCCUUGAUAUCAAGAGUGGGCCUUCUGACGGUUACAAAGGCCCUCCCAAAGCAAAAAGAAUGCUUUAUACAAGGGCUCUCCUUGGCCUUGGGUCAAGCACAGGGCUCCACCAGGACUUGGCAGUGGCCUGGGUGACAGAUGCCUCCUAAGAUUAUUUCCAGCUCAGAGGUUCAGGGACUCUGCUGUUGUGAUGGGGAAGUCUCCGUUUGUCCGUCCAGAAGCUGGAGGGUCUUUGCCACAUUUCUGAUUCACCCGGAAGGAGGUGUUUGUGUGCAGCACCGAGAUUUACUGAUGAAAGAGGCCAGAGGAGCACAAAGAUUCCCUGAAGACUUAGACUCAGGUUCAUUUAACCCCAUCUUGGACUCUACUUCUCAGCAGACCCAGAAAGUUGACCUCCUAUGCACACUUCUUGAGGAAAAGCCAGCAACCACAAAGGUAGAAAGGAAGAGAGAAAAAAUGAGAAUGAGCAAGACAUGAGAUAUAAAUGGCAGUCCUAACCACAGCUCAGUCAAUAUGAAGUUGUGCAACAGGUCUGAGAAAGCAAGCAGAGGGAGUUUGGUUUGAAGAUAGUUAUUCAGUUACCUUUCCCCUCUCUCCCUGGAAUGGAUCCAAAAGCAACAAGGAGGAUGAGAAACAAAAAUGCAAAUGCCAUUUUGAGAGCAACUUAGAGGCAGCUAACACCCAGGUCCAUACAAUUGGGAAAAGGACUGUCAUGAACAGAGUGUGAUAGGGUCCUUGUACAGAGAAAGGAUGCUUCAGGGAGAAAAUGCCAUGGCCACAGCUCUCAGGAAAGCAGCAAAAGCACCCUUCUUAAAGAUGAGAGGCAACUUUGAUGGGCAACCCCCCAAACUCUUGUGUCUAAACAUGUUUUAGGAGUAUUCCAGCUGUUAGAGAAGCUUCCCUAAAUCUAGUUUUCUUCCCAAAUGCAGAGAAGAUGGAAUAAGAAAUCAUUCUGGUGGAGUUCCCUGGUGUCUCAGGGAGUUAAAGAUGCAGCAUUGUCACUGCUGUGGUGUGGGUUUGAUCCCUGGCCGGGGAACAUCCACAUGCCACAGGUGUGCCAAAAAAGAGAAGAAAUCAUAUUGGUAAACCAUAAUUACAGAAAGUGGUCAAUCACUCUGGGAAGAAAUAAAUCUAAACAAGUAUACACACACAAAUUCCAGUUAGCCUGGGACAUGGCCCUGACCCCACUAACACAUGAAUUUCCUCCAAUAGCUGGUCCAGGAAAAACUCACCUCCUCCACCGAUGAGUAAUUUACAACAAAGCAGCAUAGACGCUACACAAAAAUGCUAGAAGACAAGAGGAAGAAGGAAACACAGUUUGAAGAACACACACAGUUUGACAGUUGAAGAACCUGAAAAUGUUGUUAGAGAUCAGAACAUUUUUUUUAUAAUUUUUUUUUUAUUUUCCCACUGUAUAGCAAGGGGGUCAGGUUAUCCUUACAUGUAUACAUUACAAUUACAUUUUUCCCCCACCCUUUCUUCUGUUGCAACAUGAGUAUCUAGACAAAGUUCUCAAUGCUAUUCAGCAGGAUCUCCUUGUAAAUCUAUUCUAAGUUGUGUCUGAUAAGCCCAAGCUCCCGAUCCCUCCCACUCCCUCCCCCCCCAUCAGGCAGCCACAAGUCUUUUCUCCAAGUCCAUGAUUUUCUUUUCUGAGGAGAUGUUCAUUUUGACAUAAAUAUUUCACCAUGAAUUUCAAAAACAUGCAGUAAGACAAUAAUCUCCAGAAAGUAAGAGGACAAAGAAGAGUUGCAAGAUCUUGGGGAAAAGAUGCCAAAACAAUAGAAGGAGAUGAAAAGUGAACUGUCAGAACUCAAGAAAGAAGUAAAGGAAAUAGACGAACAAUGACUGGAGUGAAAGAAAAUAAACACAAUGAAAAAAAAAAGAGAGAGAUACAAAAGACUGAAUUUGGAACAGCCAAUAAACAUUAAAUAAAGUAUUAAAAAGUUAAAAAGAUUUAAAGAGAAGAUUGGAGAUAAGCGAUGCAGACAACAGAGAUCCAACAAGCACAUAACUGGAGUCCCUGAAAAUUUUGAGCCUACCCCAGCAUCGUCCUUCAUCUUGAAGCCAUAUGGACUUGAAUUUGAAUCUUGGCUCUUCCAGUUACUAUGAGUAAGUCCAGCAAAUGACUUUACAUCUCUGUCCCAGUGUGAACGAGAAUUAUGAACAGUGCCUGAUACAUAACAGGCAGAGAGAACCAAGAUGUCAUUUAACCAGAAAAGAGCUGUUGAAAGGAAUCCCAACCAGAUCCCUGUUGCCCUCUUCGUCUUUGGGUAACUAAGUCUUAGAGUAAGAGAGAAAAGUAGUAAUAUUCCUUAGGCAAGACAGUCUUCAGAUAUUAUAGCAGAAAUUGACAGAACACUAUAAAUCCACUAUAAUAAAAAUGUGUUUUAAAAAAUUUUUUUUUAAAUUAAAAGAAACAGGUUUCAAACAUGGAGCCAAAUUUCCGCACUUGAAUUCCUGUUCUACCAUUUACUGAUUGGGAGGUUUUAAUCACCUCUCUCUGCCUCAGUUUCCCUGUUUGAUAAUAAUUGUACUUAUCCCUUAGGGUUGGUAUGAGGCUUAAAUGAAUUAAUUUAUGUUAAGUAAUUAAAUGACUGCUUGGAUCACGAUAGAUAAUAAAUGUUUCUAUCAUUGGGUUUGGAAAAUUAGCUUUAGGAGUUUCUAAAUAUGAUUAUAAUUCAGUUGAUAUAUAACAUAUGUCUAAGUUUCUUCCCCAUUAAGGAAAUUCAGAGAUGAAACAGGGAGUUCCCUAGUGGCUCAGCAUGUUAAGGAUUCUGGCAAUGUCACUGUGUGGUGUGGGUUCAAUCUCUGGCCUGGGAACUUUUAUAUGUUUCAGGCACAGCCCCCCUAAAAACAAAAAAUCAAAAACGAGAACAAAACAUAAAAUUACAAGGACAGGGAGAAUAAGAGGAAACAACAGCUACAAAGCUUUUGAAGGUGGAAAUCAGAAGGGUGAGUAGUACCUGAAUUAGCAGAGCUCAUAAAGCUGAAUCUUAAGUCAUCUGAGGAGCAAGAGAAAAACCAACUCAAUUUAUUCCACAAAAUCCUCAAAGGUAUCAGAAACCAGCACCACGGAAAUCCCCUUCAUGGCUCGGUGGUUAACAAUCCUGACUAGGAUCCAUGAGGAUGUGGGUUCGAUCCCUGGCCUUGCUCAGUGGGUUAAGGAUCUGGCAUUGGUGUGAGCAGUGGUGUAGUUCCCAUACGUGGCUUGUGUCCUGUGUUGCUGCGGCGUAAGCUGGCAGCUACACCUCCAAUCAGACCCCUACUGACCCCUAGCAUGGGAACCUCCACAUGCUGUUGGUGAGGCCCUAAAAUGCAAAAAAAAAAAAAAAAAAGAAAAAAAAAAAAAAGAUGGCAGUGCAACAAAACCCUCAAAUUAUGAAAAAAUUAUUUUAAAAAUGUUUCCAACUACAAAAAAUGAGAUUUAUUUCUAACCUAGAAUUCCAUAGUCAGCCAACAGUCAAGGAAGUGUGAGGACAGACAUAGUAAAAACAUUUUUGGACAGGCAAAGUCUCACAAACUCUGCUUCCUUAGGAAGCUAUUAGAAAUAAAGUUAGUAAGAGAAGAUCAUGGGAUUGAAAACAUGAAUUUCAACCUAGAAAAGACAUGAAAGGAAUCACCAGGAAUACGAUGGAGGGAGCUCCCAGAGUAAGGUCUUUAGAACAGAGGGAUAGGGCAGCUGUCCAGACUGGAGAAGUGUUACUCCAGGGGAGACAUAUGAGGAUGGCCAUCCAUGUACCUUCCACUGCUGGAUGGACCAUCUUUUUAACCUGAAUAGACUGGGCAUCUAUUCCAUUCAAACAAGAUAUUGAACUGGAAAGAGGAAGACAUCAAAGAAACAGAGGAUUCAACCCAGAAAGAGAGGAAAAAUAACUCUAAGGAUGACAGCAAAGAGGAUUCAGUCCCAGGAGUUCCCGUCGUCACUCAGUGGUUAACGAAUCCGACUAGGAACCAUGAGGUUGCAGGUUCUAUCCCUGGCCUCACUCAGUGGGUAAAAGAUCCAGCAUUGCCGUGAGCUGUGGUGUAGGUUGCAGAUGUGGCUGGGAUCCUGCAUUGCUGUGGCUCUGGCGUAGGCUGGCGGCUACAGCUCUGAUUCGACCCCUAGCCGGAAACCUCCAUAUGCCAUGGGAGCAGCCCAAGAAAUGGCAAAAAGACACACACACACACACACACACACACACACACACACACACACACACAGAGGAUUCAGUCCCAGGAAGAUGGCUAUCAGGCCAAGGCCAGCCUGGAGAGCAAACAGCCCAGAUAGGAGAAAGCAGGUCUUCACGAGGGAUGAUUUCAAUAGAUAAAAAGAAAAAAGGAACAAUUAUAUUGCCUGAUGUGGUUGGCCCUGUAGAAAAAUGUUCUGAGACAUUUGGAAGUAGUGGAGUGAAUGAGCAAUUAAGUACCCAAAAACCUAAGUAAAUAAAAAACCAAGGUAAUUAUUAACUACAGAUAAAACAAAAAUCAAGAAAGGAACAUAAUCUAAUCAUAAUGCACUGCAGUGCUCAGCUGUGAAUAACAUUUGUCUAGGCAAUAUUCAUAUGUAAACAGUGAAUAUUGAUCAAAGAACUGUAAUCUAACCUCAUGGGAGGAGGGGGGCAGGAAACAGAGGGAUGAGGAUAGUGAUGGCAGAGAACUAGAGCCUCAUCUACCACAAUAGGAAGUCGGUGGAAGCAUCUAAAAUUGAGGAAAUAAAAGACAACAGCAGAUACUUG
rnacentral:lncRNA from 9 species